rnacentral:rRNA from 1 species
UACAGAGGUCCCAAGCGUUACUGGGAAUCACUGGGCUUAAAGGGUGCGUAGGUGGUCCGUUAAGUCAGUUGUGAAAUCCCCGGGCUCAACCCGGGAAAUGCUUCUGAUACUGGCGGACUUGAGGCCAGUAGGGGUCACUAGAACUGACGGUGGAGCGGUGAAAUGCGUAGAUAUCGUCAGGAAUGCCGGUGGUGAAGACGGGUGACUGGGCUGGUUCUGACACUGAGGCACGAAAGCGUGGGGAGCGAACGGG